rnacentral:snRNA from 1 species
GUGCUCACUUUGGCAGUACAUGUACUAACACUGGAAUGAUACAGAGAAGUUUAGUAUGGCCCCUGAGCAAGGAUGACAUGCAGGUUUGUGAAGUAUUCCAUAUUAAA